GGGACGUUGCCGGCCAGUGGACGGCUAGGUGUUCCACUCUUAGCAGAAUUUCGCGCCAGAGGAACAUUCAAAUUCGACAUUAAAAACCGUGCCGGUGCUGCAAAGAGCCAACUUGAUUAGAGGAAAGGCGGAAAAAGCGAGAAAUCUCAUAGGAAGAAUUAAUAGUAACAAAUGUGGCUAAAAAUAGGAAUAAGGUCAAAGAGUCGAGAGCCGAGGUGUGCAGUGCGGGAGUGUUCUUUGACAAGCUUGUUUUUCAAAAUACGCUUUUAAAUAUUGACUAUUUUUCUAAAUUGAAGAGAUAUCCGAAUUUAAAAUUGGUCAACAAAUGGAGAAGCAGGCGGAAAGUCGUCCCAAAUUUCUCAUAGGGGAAAGAGUUCUUUGGUUAGGGAGUGGAAGCGGAUUACCCAAAAGCGGGCAGGUCAAAUGGAUCGGGAGGCUUUUGGAAAUUGGACCAAAUUUGGCUGUCGGUCUUGAACUGGAUGAACCAUUGCCUUAUGGAGGAAUUGAUGGGACAUGGGGUUCUCGACAACUUUUUAGAUGCGAAUCAAAGCAUGGUCUGAUUGUUCCUUCAUCCAGCGUAAUCCCUCAACCCCAACACAGAGCGCCUUUCUACACCGAGACCAAGUCCGAAACGAGAAAAAGCUCGCUGCAGGUGUCGACUUUAAAUAGAUCUAAGAUUGCAAGGACAUUAUUUGCGUCGGAGAGAUAUUUAAGCGAGGGUUCAUCACCAAUCGUUACACGGAAGACAAGGGAGUCGAGUAAGUUCACAAGAGGCUUUGAGACGUUACCAAGGCCUAGUGGUGGUGUAGGAGGCAGCAAACUGAAUCUGCACACCAAGGCAUUAGAGAAGGAUCGAGAUGGGAAGAUAUUUGGGAGAACGAUGAACAGGGAAUUUAGGAGGUCGGACGAUCAUCUUGAAAGGACAAGUUCGAUAAAUUCAUCUAAGAGUGCCAGUUCACGGAGAGAUAGGUCAAGCGGGAUUUUUUCCAUUUUCAAGUGGUUCAAGAAAGACAAAUCCCUCGAUUCCGACGACUUCGACUCACCUCCUCUUCCGGGUUCGCCGAUCCUCGCGAGAAAAAACGGUUCGAUUUGCGGAAGUAUUGAUACGCUUUUUAGCACGGCGACAGUUACCAGUUUUGCCUUCGUACCGCCUUCUUAUUACAAGCCUUUCGGAGCCGCUAACCAACCGGAAAUCAGAAUCGCCCUCGGGCCGGAUACGAACACGUACAAGAAUAGAAUAAAGGAAAGAGAUGAGUUAAGGCGCUUCGAUAAUAAAAUAUCUCUCAGGGAGAAAUACAAACUCUAUGCAAGUGGUACUCUGCCUAGGAGUGUGGAUAGGAUAAACGAGAUUAGGGACGGACCCCCUUCAGAUUCGGAAAGCAAAAGCUCUUCUAUUAGGAAGAAAAAACGGAAAGCGCCGCCCCCGCCUUUGACCCAAAGCGAAAACAGUCUUCCUGACGCCCAAAACAAAGAGAACAACCCUUUGAGACAUCAUAGGAGAGCACUAAGCGAGCCCGAGGCGGCCAAAUACAUCAAAGCUUGUCAUGUGAAAGGGAAAAGGAAAGCACCACCGCCUCCCGCAGGUAGAGAGGAAAGGACUUUGAGCUUGACUAGGAAAAAACGUCCUGCACCGCCGCCUCCGAACGUGAAUCCUAAAAAAGAAAAAGAAGAUAUUUCAAAAAUCAUACAGAAAACGCCUUUCGAUAUAAACAAUUCUAAUCAGGAACAGGAAGACAGUGCUAGUAACACUAACAAGACCGAAACCUGCGAAGUGAUAUCCACCGACACGUUGAGAUUGGAAAGAGGCGUCCUGAAACAGAACAAAGUAGACAGACCGAUGUCGGAACCGAAAUUUAGUCCUUCCUCUCCGGUCUCCCCGAGGCCUUGGUACAAAAGAAACACUCCUCACAAACAGGAGUCGGUCAUAUGGAGGCUGGACAAGAAAAAGCCUGCAAAGAAAGAUGCCCACGAUAGUAAAUUCCUAGAAAGCGGUUUCCCCAGAAAAUUUACUUCUGGAGAGAACAAGUUCAUCAAUAUAUUCAGUAAAAUCGAUAAGCCGGAAGAGAAAAGAAAAUCCCAGAUUUCAAUACUUACAAAUAUCAGUGAACUAGACAGAGAAGCUGCAGAAAUAGUUAAAAACAACAAAGCCAGGGAACAAACCUUCCUAGCCGAACUCAAUAAAACUUUUUACCCAGAUAGAAGCGAGAUCGAGAGAGUAAGUUUAAACGAGAAUCUGACACAUCCUACAAAUAAGACACCUAUUCAUCGGGUAGUUCUGGAUGAAGCGGAAGUUAGAAUCGUGGACACGGCUAGUUCUAUUCCGGAACCCGAAAAUAAAAUAGCUAAAGUAACUAUCGAGGAAUUGGACGAAUACGACGCGGAAAGGAAUUCAAAAGCGCAAACGAUGUACGAAGUAAACAGGAUGUACCGUCAUCAAUCUCCUCCCAUAUCCAUGAUCCCCGAAGUGUCCGAGAGUUCCGCUAAGUCAUCCAGUCCUUCGUCUUCUAUCGCAAGCAGCAGCACUUACGAAUCCACGACGUCGAAGCCCGAGCUGAAAGUUUUCGGGGGGCAGCUCGUCUGGAUCUGCCCUCGCUGCACUUUAGAAAAUUGCAGGUGGAAAAUAACGUGCGGGGCAUGCGACCUGUGGAGGCCGAGUCCCUGUGAUUUCAAAGAAAAGUCGAAACCUUCGGAGUCGCAGCCUCCCGUUAUGAACCCCAAAGAGAAUAAAAAAAGUUCAGGUUUGAAAGGUCCAUCUACUUCGAGAGACUUAAGCAACGAAAUCAUCGAUCAAACUACCAAAUUAGUCGAGAAUAUUUCAAAAGGAAUAAAUAUUGCAAUGAUGAUGGAUAAAAAAAGGGACGAGAAGACGAACGUCGUUCUGGAUCCUGAUGGGGCAACCAGUACAAACCAAAUCGACAAACAAGCAGAAGAGGUUCGCCUCGCAAGGUUGGCCUUUUUCGAUAAAUAUUCCACACCUAACAACCUCCAAACCAGGAUACCGAUAUUGGAGGAAACCAACAAAUUUUCCGAAUCGAGCGACAAUAAAAGAAAUAUUACUGUUAAUAUAAACGUUGAAAAAGAACCAAGGAAACAUGACGUCGCACAAAACAUUGAGGAAUGUAGACAGAUUUUAAACAGUAUAAGCGAGAACCAGGGUAAAAAGGACAUUAUAAGGCCAAGUUCACCAAACCUAAGAAGUGUCCCGAAAAUUUCUAACAAAACGUUAAACGAACCGUCAACUUCCAAUAUAAAAAAUGAAGUUCUUGUAAAAUCAGACGCAACCUUAAAAAUGAGUUUAGUUGAAGGGGAUAAAAACAAAAACACAAGUGACAUUACCGCAAUUCAGAGUGCGUCGAAAGAUUUAACGGCCAAUGUUCGAGCUUUGUCAAAUUUUGCAAACUUUAAAAACAUUAAUACGACGAAAAUUACAAACAAUUCUGCUGGUGAACGGAGAGAAGUAUUUCCGGAAACAUCUAAGUUAGGCGUUACUCCUGGAGCAGUUGAGGCAACAGUGAAAUCUGAAGAUAACAAAGUUACUAAUGAUUUCAAUGCCGUUCCCAGUUGUUCAAAAGACAACUUAAUGAACUGUGAAGAGUAUUCGAAAAUUACAAGUUGCAUAAACUCCGUCCCGGGAACAUCAAGAAACAAUUUAACGUUGUUUGAAGAAAACGUCAAAAGUAAAAAUGAAAAUAUUUCUGUCGCUACGACGGAGAACAGGUUUGUUGAUGAACCUACUAAAAAUACAAAUCGUAAUAACGAAUCUCGCAGUUUGAAUGCGGUCGAUGUUCCAAGCUCUUCGAAAGAAAAUCCUUCCUCGACAAAAACGACAAACAUUAAAGUUACUCAGACGCCUGAGACACCAAGAAUAGUGUCCAAAGACAUUGAAGAGAGCAGGAGGAUGCUGAAGGAAAUGUUAAAGGAGAUGAAGCACUCGCUUCCAAAAAGACCGGAGAUUAAGAAAGAAUCGUCGAAGAAGGAAGAAAAACAUUUACACCGUGACAACAGUGACGUUGCAGAAGCAUACUUAAUAGAGAGUGAAACAAUAGUAGAAGAAAUAAAAUUGAAAAAGCCGUCAGAAAAAGUGUCUUCGUCUGCCCAGACUAGUGCCAUGGUCCGACAGAUCGUGCCAAAAGUCAAACCUUCAUCGGGCUCUCAAAUAAUCGUACCAAUGACAAUAGAAGAGUACCAAAUCAAAGAUGGCGUUUUGUAUACCUCCGUGACCAAAAAACAGGCGAAGAAAAUUGGUACAGGAACGUUCGAAUUAUUACGACCGAGGGAUUUCGCCAAUAUAGAGGCGGUCAAGGCUCACAACGCCAUGCCACCACUUUAUGUCAAUGUCGACGAUGACCCGGGCGGUCAAGAACAGGCUGAAAACAAAAAUCAAGAAGUCGAAAAAUUAUCAGAGCAGCUAACUAGGCCACAAGGACUCGCAAAUUUCAGAGCUGGACUCGGAAAUGAAGCGAGCAACAUGAACACGAUGGCAGUUAACAGGCUGUUAAAAAGACUGGAAGGAGCCAUAGCGAAUGGCCAACUGGAACUUGCUGCCAUUCUCGCCAAAGAACUGGCCCAAAUGAAAGUCAGUUGCUCCGUUACAAGACAGAAACCAGAGCUGCCCGUUAAACUCAUACCGGUUGAAUUAUAUAUAGAGGAUAAACACAACCAUAGAGGUCCUUUUCCAUUAAAAAUAUCUCCCAAGAUGACAUUAGCUGAGCUGAAGAAGCAGGUCGAAGUCGAGUACGAUCUGCCGAGCAACGUGCAGCGAUGGAUUUUAGGGAAAAAUCUCGCCAGCGACAAUUCUGCGACUCUCGAAUCUAUGGGUGUCGACAAGCCACAAGUACCGCUAUUUUUGUAUCUCGUAGUCCCAGAUGCGAACGUGCAGACGACGAACGAUGCUAGCGGCGUAGAGGGUAGUGCUGAAAUUUCGUACGCAGAAGAUCGUGAGAAGAAAUCUGAGGGAGGCAAAAUCGAAUUACAAGCAACGACCAGCAAAGAGCCUCUUUUAGAAAAGGUGAUCCCUAUACAGAAUCUUGCAGAACAGAUUCUGGAAGAGGAAACUGAGGAAGAGAUUAUAGAAGAAGUCGAAGAUCCUGAUGUCGAAAUCGAAGAACCGGACACUCCUGUCGUUCAGGAUGAAACCAAAGAAUUUCCCUUCGGAACUCUGGCUCUGGGGUGGAAAUGCAGACAGUGUACUCUAAUAAACAGGCCUACAAGGGUUAAGUGCGCAGCUUGUAACACAGAGAAACCGACCGAGUACAAGGUUCCCGUCGAGUAUAAAGUUACCGAAGAAGAAAAACGAGAAAAUUACCAAAAGUUAAUGGACCUCGAGAAAGACGAUCUCAUAAUCAGUAUGGAAGAAUUUGAAUGUCCCAUUUGUUUGGUGCGCUACGAACCGAACGACGGUGUCAUCCUCAGGGAGUGCCUUCACGUUUUCUGCCGCUGGUUACACCCCGAGUAUAUGAAGGGCACUUGGCCAAGUCCAUAGCGUUGGCGGAAACCAAGAUCGGUAACACAUUCCACUGCAAGACUCCAGAUUGCAAGGGUUGGUGCAUCUACGAGGAUAACGUCAACGUGUUCAAGUGUCCCGUGUGCACUCACAUCAACUGCGUCACAUGCCAGGCCGUGCACGAAGGCCUCGACUGCAAGCAGUACCAGGAACAAGUCAACCUCGAUUCCGAGACCAAC
rnacentral:misc_RNA from 1 species